UGACCUCGGAUCAGGUAGGGAUACCCGCUGAACUUAAGCAUAUCAUAGCCGGGGAGGA
rnacentral:rRNA from 1 species